AUGACUUUGCAGAAAAUGAUGUCGCUCAUUUUGCUACAUUCCAUGCAUUUUGCCACAGCUCUAUACAUGUACAUCUUUCAGUGGUGUGUGCAAACUGAGUGAAAAAAACAUCUUACAAUUUCCUGGUCACAUUUUACCUAAACAAACACGCAUGCGAGCGUUGGAACUGGACCUUGGGGCAGUGGAAGAAAGUCGCUUCAUCAAAUGAGUCUAGUUUUCUUUUCCAUCAAUGGACGGCCAUGUACAUGUGCACUGUUGUACCUGGGGAAAUUUGAUGGUACCAAGAUGAACUGAGAUGGCAACAAGCCAGUGGAAAAGUGUGAUGUUCUGGGCAAUGUUCUGCUGGGAAUCUCUGGGUCUGGCCAUUCAUGUGGACGUAAAUUUGACAUGUGCCACCUACCUAAACAUCGUUGCAGACCAGACCAGUUGACAUUGGUGUUCCCUGGUAAAUUGUUUGAGGAACAUGAAGAAGAGUUGGCCUGGCCUCCAAAUUCACCAGAUCUCAAUCUAAUUGAGCAUCUGUGGGAUGUGCUGGACUAACAAGCUCGAUCCACAGUGGUCCCACCUCGCAACCUGCAGGACUUGAAGGAUCUGCUGCUAAUGUCAGAUAGCACAGGACACCUUCAGGGGUCUUGUAGAGUCCAUGCCUCAACAGGUCGACACUUUUGUCAGAACGUAGAGGACCAAUAGCAUAUUAGGCAGGUGGUCAUAAUGUUUUGGCUCAUCAGGAUACAAUUGACACAAAGCCCAAAACCAUAAACAAUAAGAAGAGAUUGUUCUCUUUGGUCAUGUUGUAUUUCUGUUUUAUUUGUAUUUUUGCCUUUAUACAGUCUUGUUUUGUUUAUUUUAUGUCACAUGUUAUUUAUUUCUGAAAAGAAAAGCGCUGCCAACCGAAUAAAAAACUGAAAUGCAGUUCAUGCUUUUAACCACUGGAUGGCGAGACAGUCCUAAACUUGCAGCGCCUUUGUUGCUAAUAGCUUCUAUGCUACUGUGUGGGGUUAUGGUAAGCUUUUACUUCUGUAUAGUCUCAUGUUUUCAUUUUUAUGAUUUGAAAAUAAGUCCCUUCACAAUAUUAUCUGCAAGUGGAAGAAAUGAUGGAUUUCUAUCCAGGCUUGUGUCACAGAACUCCCUCAGGCAGGACUUGACCUUGUGGCCUUUGGCUGCUAAUGAAGGGUCUCAACCCAGCACUGUGUCUGAUGUCUCAGCGUCACCUCUGCCUGUCUUAUCCUCAGACAAGCCCGCCUGGUUUGUUCCAGCAGCACCAUGGACAGCACCACAGUGAAGCAACUUGGCUGGCUGGAUGUCAACCAAUCACAGCUGCAGUCACUUGAUGCUCAUCAACGACAAGGACAAAAGGAGUGCUGACAUCUGUGUCUGAUGAGUAACAAGCAGAGGAAAUGUGACCGCUCCAGAUUCUCAUUUCGUCUCUUCACAGCAGUGACUUCACAUCUGCAUCGCUGCACGUUGUGACUGAACGUAUAGUAUUUCAAAGAAAUAUAGCAAAAAUAAUGUCGCAAAAACAAGUUUUCAUAUUAUAAAACCCUUUAAAUACAGUGUUUUUGGUUGUCAAAUGUUAGUGGAACAUUGUGAUGAACUACACCUUCUAGGACAUCUUUAAACUUGAGGAACUAGAAUACAUUGACUAAAAACAUCUUGACAACAGAUGGGCAAAAGUCAUAACGAAAAUGUUUCAGAAAAGUUCUUUAAAAAAAGCACAGUUUGUUUGCAGAUGGCACUUGGUUUGAUAUCUUGUAACUAAUGCAAUUAUAUUCAUUUUAUAUUCUCAGAUGCUAUUUUGGGGCCACUGUAUAUGGUCAAGUCUCAAUCUGUCAUUCGGAGUUUAAUUAAAGCUGUUAAAUAUAUUUCUGCUCGAAUACACCAGAUCAAACCAUAUGGAAGAUCAUCCCCAAGGUAGCCAUGGCAAUCCUUUGAUGUUUAUUUUUGCUGAUCUCUGUCCUCAGAGAUAAAGCAUUAAAGCAAUUCUGUGAUGCAGUUGCACAUUUACUAACAAACUGAUCCAUUUCGAAAUGUAUGUCUUUGUGAGGAAAAAGAAAAUUAAUAUAAUUAUAACUAUUAGA